UACGUAGGGUGCGAGCGUUGUCCGGAAUUAUUGGGCGUAAAGAGCUCGUAGGCGGUCUGUCGCGUCUGCUGUGAAAACUCGGGGCUUAACCCCGGGCCUGCAGUGGGUACGGGCAGACUAGAGUGCGGUAGGGGAGACUGGAAUUCCUGGUGUAGCGGUGAAAUGCGCAGAUAUCAGGAGGAACACCGAUGGCGAAGGCAGGUCUCUGGGCCACUACUGACGCUGAGAAGCGAAAGCAUGGGGAGCGAACAGG
rnacentral:rRNA from 1 species